AAAAACAUCGCCUCCUGCAACACAACCAAGUAUAGGAGGUCCAGCCUGCCCAGUGACUACAAGUUCAACGGCCGCGGUAUUUUGACCGUGCAAAGGUAGCGCAAUCACUUGUCUUUUAAAUAGAGACCUGUAUGAAUGGCUAAACGAGGGCUUAACUGUCUCCCCUUUCCAGUCAGUGAAAUUGAUCUACCCGUGCAGAAGCGGGUAUAAUAAUACAAGACGAGAAGACCCUUUGGAGCUUAAGGUACAAAACUCAACCACGUUAAGCAACUCAAUAAAAAGUGAAAACUUUGUGGAACAUGAGAUUUUACCUUCGGUUGGGGCGACCACGGAGGAAAAAAAAGCCUCCAGGUGGAACGGGAAAAUUUCCUAAAACUAAGAGAGACAUCUCUAAGCCACAGAACAUCUGACCAAAUAUGAUCCGGCUAAUACAAGCCGAUCAACGAACCAAGUUACCCUAGGGAUAACAGCGCAAUCCUCUCCCAGAGUCCAUAUCGACGAGGGGGUUUACGACCUCGAUGUUGGAUCAGGACAUCCUAAUGGUGCAGCCGCUAUUAAGGGUUCGUUUGUUCAACGAUUAAAGUCCUACGUGAUCUGAG
rnacentral:rRNA from 1 species